rnacentral:misc_RNA from 1 species
GGCAAAUUUCAUGUACAUACUAAGGAACUUAUUACGUUUCGGUUUUUUCAGAUGUCCACUUGAGUGGCCCACGCCACGCCCCUUUUCCCACGCCAAAGAGACUCGAAAAGAAUGCGAGUCGUUAACGGUUCAAUGGCAACGCAGCACUUCCGCAGCUCCAACGGCACAAACAUCCCCAGUCCCAUCCCCAUACGCAUCCCACCUACCAACCCCAUCCACAUCUCCGCCAGAAUCCCAGUGGCAGCUUUGACCGCUUCACUGCAUCGCCGCAAAAGUCGGAGGACGGACCAUAGUGGCGCCUCGAUGAAUUACAGGUUUCAUUUUUCAAGAGCGCUGGCCAGGAAAGCCGUAUUUACAUACAUCCCUCUUUGCGGAGAUAAGAGCCAGAAUUGUUGGUGAAAACGUUUCCUUUGAUCUUGGAAUUUGUCACUUUUAUAAAGAACUUAAUGUUAUUUCAUUUAAUUUCCAACAAUAGUGAUAAUUUAUGAAACACAUAGUUCAAUGUGCUAAAUAUCUAGUAAUAAAAUG